GAUGGACGCUGGCGGCGUGCCUAACACAUGCAAGUCGAACGAAGCUCCCAGAAUUGAGUUUUCGGACAAGAGGAAGGGAUGACUUAGUGGCGGACGGGUGAGUAAUGCGUGAGCAACCUGCCUUUCAGAGGGGGACAACAGUUGGAAACGACUGCUAAUACCGCAUAACGUAUAUUGAUGGCAUCAUCGAUAUACCAAAGAUUUUAUCGCUGAAAGAUGGGCUCACGUCUGAUUAGCUAGUUGGUGAGGUAACGGCUCACCAAGGCUGCGAUCAGUAGCCGGACUGAGAGGACGAACGGCCACAUUGGGACUGAGAUACGGCCCAGACUCCUACGGGAGGCAGCAGUGGGGAAUAUUGGGCAAUGGGCGCAAGCCUGACCCAGCAACGCCGCGUGAAGGAAGAAGGCUUUCGGGUUGUAAACUUCUUUUGGCAGGGACGAAACAAAUGACGGUACCUGCAGAAUAAGCUCCGGCUAACUACGUGCCAGCCGCCGCGGUAAGAC
rnacentral:rRNA from 1 species